GCUUCACAAAGAUCCCCGCAUAGCUUCACUACUACUGUGUUGGUCCAUUUCCAGAAUCUUAAGCAGUGUUCUUGUUUAGACGAUUACCUUGGAUGAUGCUUUUGCUUAAGGAGAGGCUCAAGAAGAUCAAGGAGCUCCGCAUCCGAGUUUCAGCCAUCCUCUACAGCAAGGAGCUCUGGGCCAAAGGAGCAAGCAGCGCUGCUAGUUCCUUGAGGCCAGAUCGAGUAAGAUGGUGCACCAUGGCGUGUGGUGGUGUAUUUUGCUUCCGAGAACAGUACUGUUUAUUUGAAGUGAGAUGUACUCGUCUAGUGCCUGGCAAAAAAUUGAAGGAUGAAGUGUCAUGUACUGUCUAUGUUGUAGUGAGCUGUAGUAGGAGUGAAACGAAAAUUUAUCUGCUGUUGUAUGUGCUAUUUCCCUGUAA